rnacentral:rRNA from 1 species
AGUGAACGCUGGCGGUAGGCCUAACACAUGCAAGUCGAACGGCAGCACAGUAAGAGCUUGCUCUUACGGGUGGCGAGUGACGGACGGGUGAGGAAUACAUCGGAAUCUACUUUUUCGUGGGGGAUAACGGAGGGAAACUUACGCUAAUAGCGCAUACGACCUACGGGUGAAAGCAGGGGAUCUUCGGACCUUUCGCGUUUGUAUGAGCCGAUGUCGGAUUAGCUAGUUGGCGGGGUAAAGGCCCACCAAGGCGAGGAUCCGUAGCUGGUCUGAGAGGAUGAUCAGCCACACUGGAACUGAGACACGGUCCAGACUCCUACGGGAGGCAGCAGUGGGGAAUAUUGGACAAUGGGCGAAAGCCUGAUCCAGCCACACCGCGUGGGUGAAGAAGGCCUUCGGGUUGUAAAGCCCUUUUGUUGGGAAAGGAAAGAAGCAGGUUAAUACCCCGCUGUUCUGACGGUACCCAAAGAAUAAGCCCCGGCUAACUUCGUG